rnacentral:misc_RNA from 1 species
CCUAGAGUUGUAGGCUUUGCCUGCUAUCUCUUACCCAUGUCUUUUGAGUACCUUCGUUUCCUCGGCGGGUCCACCCGCCGAUUGGACAAUUUUAAACCAUUUGCAGUUGCAAUCAGCGUCUGAAAAAACUUAAUAGUUA